GCCCUUUAGGUAAAGACGAAGGCUGUCUGGAUCCAACUUGGAAUUUCUGGCUGUCUGUAUUAAUCUGGUGGCAAGACGAAACACUGCCCCUUGUCUCAGGGUAGUUGGGUCACUAUGAUGCUUAGCCUAUGAGAAACAGCUGUCUAUGCACUUGUCCUUUUAUGGAGCUAUUUUGGUUUCAAUAAACACUGUGUCUGGAACAUGAUUUGCACUCAACUGGUGAUCAACGUGCACACAGUAGAAGAAAAUCAGCGUUUCUGAAAUUUUUAUUUGGUUUGGCUUACACAAACACUAGCAUGCACAAUAAAAGACUGAUAAACGAAUUCCAAUGUAAGCAUACACCCAAUGGCAUUAAAAUAUCACCUUACCCAUAACUUUAGGCUAACUUUUGAUGAUAUAGACUUGGCCUCCUGGAUGAUGGACAGUGGAAGUGAGGUGUUCUCUGCUGCUCUUAUACCUCAAACAGACUACGGAGGAUCCGGAGCCUAUCCCAGGAACACUAGGCAUAAGGUGGGAGAAUUUAUCCUGGAUGAGAUGCCAUCUACAGUAUGUGAGCACUGACACAUUCACACGCUCAUUCCCACCAUGUGUGAGCAGCCAAUCCAUCUACCUGCAUGUUUUCGAUAGUAGGAGGAAACCAGAGAACCCUGAAGAAAUCCAUGUGAAUGCAAGUGCUGUUAAGUGGGAAUGGCUAAAUUCCACAACUAGUUUACGUAAAAUCCAUUACUGCAAAUAAUAUUUCUUCAGUUAAUUGCUCUUUCUUUUUUUAAUUCAUCUUUUCAGAGAUAUAACUCCUUUUUUUCCAGAGGAAGGAAUUUAAGACAUUUUCUUUAAGAUCCUUUUUGCUGGAAUUUGUUUAUGUUGCAUGUUUUGAUCAUAAGAUUUCAAUAACUGCUCUCAGAUCCCAAAUGUCAACUUCAGGUAAACAAGUUUUCUGUUAUGAUCUCUGUGGAAGAUAACGAGUCAACAAUUUAUUUACUUUGUUAAUCAUACAUGUGUUACAGAUACACUAAACUGUAAAAACAAAUGCUUUAACAUUGGACACUAUGUGAAAGUAUAAUCUAAAUAUCUUUAUUAUGAAAUUAUACUGACUGAUCCAAAAGGUCUGGAUACCU